rnacentral:lncRNA from 1 species
CUGGCUUCAAUACUGCCACAGGCAGUGCACUUGUUUUUGGUCGCAGGUUCAAAUUCGGCUUGAAAUAAAGAUACCUAUUUCUGUGGUAGUCCAAAUAUCAAUGAAGUGAUUUCAUUGGUGGAGCCAGAAAUUAGCCUUGCUGUCACAUGAUUCACUAUUGACAGUUUUGCCGCGAACAUCAGUAGCUAGUUAGCUACAUGACUUUCUUUAGAGAAGGUUAAAUCUCUGACUUCUCUAGCUACUUGGCUAGCCUUGAUCGUUUUGUUUGUAAUAACAUUAUUUAGCGGCAGUUAGUUAUUUAAGACAAUGUUAACCUAUUCAUUUUGACCCAUUAUCUGGCAGUUUAAAUAAAACUAGUAAAUUAUCUCCGGUGACAGUCAGCUAGCUACGCUAAAGUUAGCUAAAGUUAGCUAGCAACCGCGGGAGGAAAGGCAAGAAGGGUGAAAUGACGAGCGUGGACGUGAUUUAUGAAAAGAUUCACUUCAGGCACGAUCCGAAAUGGUCUGUUCGUGUUCGCAUGGGUCACCCGGACCAGGGCGGCUUGAUGAUCUGCGUCGCUUGUGUCAUUGAGAUGAUGGAAAGCAAAAACGUUGCGUCUGUGAGAAAGUCUGUGGCGCUAUCAGGGAUCAGUGGGAUCCUGAAGAGCUGUCCUGGGGCUCUGAAGGAGCUGCUACUGCAGGACCACAGGGUCUGUCUGCAUUUCACAGCAUCUUUACUGGGUAAGAAAGAUACACACGCACACACACACACACACACACACACACACACACACACACACACACACACACACACACAAUCAAACAAAGCCUGGCUUUAUCUAUACCAUUAUUUGACUGUUUUCCGUACAGGGAUGCUUCACACAGUAGAGGACCCAGCCACUCUGGAGCAGGCCAUACAGGGUAAGAGGAAAGCUUAA